rnacentral:rRNA from 1 species
UACGAAGGGGGCUAGCGUUGCUCGGAAUCACUGGGCGUAAAGCGCACGUAGGCGGCGUCGUAAGUCAGGGGUGGAAUCCCGGAGCUCAACUCCGGAACUGCCCUUGAAACUGCAAUGCUAGAAUCUUGGAGAGGCGAGUGGAAUUCCGAGUGUAGAGGUGAAAUUCGUAGAUAUUCGGAAGAACACCAGUGGCGAAGGCGGGUCUCUGGGCAACAACUGACGCUGAGGAGCGAAAGCGUGGGGAGCGAACAGG